rnacentral:rRNA from 1 species
UACGAAGGGUGCAAGCGUUACUCGGAAUUACUGGGCGUAAAGCGUGCGUAGGUGGUGAGUUAAGUCUGUCGUGAAAGCCCCGGGCUCAACCUGGGAAUGGCGAUGGAUACUGCCUCGCUAGAGUCCGGAAGAGGAGAGCGGAAUUCCUGGUGUAGCGGUGGAAUGCGCAGAUAUCAGGAAGAACACCCGUGGCGAAGGCGGCUCUCUGGGACGGUACUGACGCUGAGACGCGAAAGCGUGGGGAGCGAACAGG